rnacentral:tmRNA from 1 species
GGGGCUGACUGGCUUUGACAGCGUGUAGAGGUGGUGGGUAAGCAUGCAGAGUGAUGAUGCCUACACUCUUUAAUCAGCGACAUCAAAAAUUCAAAUGGCGAAAACAACUACGCUCUCGCUGCUUAAUCGAAGUACAGUAGAUUAACUUUAUCUCAGCAACAGUUGCCGAGACGAGACAUCACCCGAUUGUCCUUUUUCCGAGACGGAUCGACCAGGUGGUGCAGAUAAAUCGGAAAUAUGGCGGUGAAAGCCUCGCGAUCCGCCGAGACUCUUAGAGGAUAAGGACGGAAUUGGUGGUUUCUAACCUGUUCCGUCACGAAAACCAAGUAGAAACUAAGCAUGUAGAAAGCUCAUUAGUUCCACGUUUGGACGAGGGUUCAAACCCCUCCAGCUCCACUU